rnacentral:rRNA from 1 species
CUAUUAUGGUGUCCGUACUAAAACUGACACAGGUAGGCGGGGAGAGGAUCCUAAGGCGCUCGAGAGAACCCUCGUUAAGGAACUCGGCAAAAUCACUCCGUAACUUCGGGAGAAGGAGUGCCCCGAAUUUAUUCGGGGCCGCAGUGAAAAGGUCUGGGCGACUGUUUACUAAAAACACAAGUCUCUGCUAAGAUUUAUAAUCAACGUAUAGAGACUGACGCGUGCUCGAUGCCAGAACGUUAAGGGGAUGGGUUAGUGUCCGAAAGGAUGCGAAGCUCAGAACCGAAGCGCUGGUGAAUGGCGGCUCUAACUAUGAGAGUCCUAAGGUAGCGAAGUUCCUUGUCGGAUAAUUACCGACGUGCAUGAAUCGCGUAACGACUUAGAUACUGUCUCAACGAGGGACUCGGCGAAAUUGUAGUCGUGGUGAAGAUGCCACGUACCCGCGGCAAGACGGAAAGACCCCGUGAACCUUUACUGUAGCCUAUUAUUGGGUUUUGUCACAGUAUGCGUAGGAUAGGUGGGAGACUAAGAAGUCCCAGCUCUGGCUGGGGCAGAGUCGACGUUGAAAUACCACUCUUACUAUGUUAAAAUUCUAACUAAAUUCCGUGAAUCCGGAUUUGGGACAGUGAUAGGUGGGCAGUUUGACUGGGGCGGUCUCCUCCUAAAGAGUAACGGAGGAGUCCAAAGGCUUCCUCAGUGCGCUUGGCAACCGCACGUAGAGUGUAAGGGCAGAAGGAAGCUUGACUGCGAGACCUAUAAGUCGAGCAGAUGUGAAAGCAGGGCCUAGUGAUCCGGUGGUUGUGUGUGGAAACGCCAUCGCUCAACAGAUAAAAGGUACUCCGGGGAUAACAGGCUGAUCGCCCCCGAGCGUCCAUAGCGGCGGGGCGGUUUGGCACCUCGAUGUCGGCUCAUCGCAUCCUGGGGCUGGAGAAGGUCCCAAGGGUUCUGGAGUUCACAGAUUAAAGCGGUACGCGAGCUGGGUUUAGACCGUCGUGAGACAGGUCGGUCCCUAUCUGCCGUGGGUGGACGAUAUUUGAGGAGAUCUGUCCUUAGUACGAGAGGACCGGGAUGGACGUACCUCUGGUGAACCAGUUGUCGUGCUAACGGCAUCGCUGGGUAGCUAUGUACGGAAAGGAUAAAUGCUGAAAGCAUAUAAGUAUGAAGCCUACUCCAAAACUAGAUAUCGUUUUCCUUUAUAGGAAGAGAGACACCUUGAAGAUUACGAGGUUGAUAGGCCAGAGGUGUAAGUAUAGUAAUAUACUAAGCUGACUGGUACUAAUUAGUCGAAAAGCUUGACUU